AUGAAAAAGGCAAACUCUAUUGAAAGAUGAGGGCGCAAAGCCAUGUACCUAAGGCAUUUAUGCUAUGGUUGACAGGUCGCCGA
rnacentral:ncRNA from 1 species